rnacentral:rRNA from 1 species
CCCUUAGAUGUCCUGGGCCGCACGCGCGUUACACUGAUGCAUUCAACGAGCUUAUAACCUUGGCCGAGAGGCCUGGGCAAUCUUGUUAACGUGCAUCGUGAUAGGGAUAGAUUAUUGAAAUUAUUAAUCUUGAACGAGGAAUUCCUAGUAAACGCGGAUCAUCAAUCUGCAUUGAUUACGUCCCUGCCCUUUGUACACACCGCCCGUCGCACCUACCGAUUGGAUGGUCCGGUGAAGCCUCGGGAUUGUGGUUCUUGCCGCUUUAUUGUAGCGUGACCGCGAGAACUUGUCUAAACCUUAUCAUCUAGAGGAAGGUGAAGUCGUAACA